UGGGGAAUAUUGCACAAUGGGCGCAAGCCUGAUGCAGCCAUGCCGCGUGUAUGAAGAAGGCCUUCGGGUUGUAAAGUACUUUCAGUCGGGAGGAAGGUGGUAAGGUUAAUAACCUUAUCCAUUGACGUUACCGACAGAAGAAGCACCGGCUAACUCCGUGCCAGCAGCCGCGGUAAUACGGAGGGUGCAAGCGUUAAUCGGAAUUACUGGGAGUAAAGCGCACGCAGGCGGUUGAUUGAGUCAGAUGUGAAAUCCCCGGGCUUAACCCGGGAAAUGCAUCUGAUAUUGGUCAGCUAGAGUCUUGUAGAGGGGGGUAGAAUUCCAUGUGUAGCGGUGAAAUGCGUAGAGAUGUGGCGGAAUACCGGUGGCGAAGGCGGCCCCCUGGACAAAGACUGACGCUCAGGUGCCAAAGCGUGGGGAGCAAACAGG
rnacentral:rRNA from 1 species